UACGGGGGGGGGCAAGCGUUGUUCGGAAUUACUGGGCGUAAAGGGCUCGUAGGCGGCCAACUAAGUCAGACGUGAAAUCCCCAGGCUCAACCUGGGAACUGCGUCUGAUACUGGAUGGCUUGAAUCCGGGAGAGGGAUGCAGAAUUCCAGGUGUAGCGGUGAAAUGCGUAGAUAUCUGGAGGAAUACCGGUGGCGAAGGCGGCAUCCUGGACCGAUAUUGACACUGAUGAGCGAAAGCUAGGGGAGCAAACGGG
rnacentral:rRNA from 1 species